GACGAACGCUGGCGGCGUGCCUAAUACAUGCAAGUAGAACGCUGAAGAGAGGAGCUUGCUCUUCUUGGAUGAGUUGCGAACGGGUGAGUAACGCGUAGGUAACCUGCCUUGUAGCGGGGGAUAACUAUUGGAAACGAUAGCUAAUACCGCAUAACAAUGGAUGACCCAUGUCAUUUAUUUGAAAGGGGCAAAUGCUCCACUACAAGAUGGACCUGCGUUGUAUUAGCUAGUAGGUGAGGUAACGGCUCACCUAGGCGACGAUACAUAGCCGACCUGAGAGGGUGAUCGGCCACACUGGGACUGAGACACGGCCCAGACUCCUACGGGAGGCAGCAGUAGGGAAUCUUCGGCAAUGGGGGCAACCCUGACCGAGCAACGCCGCGUGAGUGAAGAAGGUUUUCGGAUCGUAAAGCUCUGUUGUAAGUCAAGAACGAGUGUGAGAGUGGAAAGUUCACACUGUGACGGCAGCUUACCAGAAAGGGACGGCUAACUACGU
rnacentral:rRNA from 1 species